rnacentral:misc_RNA from 1 species
GAUGAAGAACGCAGCGAAAUGCGAUACGUAAUGUGAAUUGCAGAAUUCAGUGAAUCAUCGAAUCUUUGAACGCAUAUUGCGCUCUUUGGUAUUCCGAAGAGCAUGCUUGUUUGAGUAUCAGUAAACACCUCAAAGCUUUUGGAUUUUUUAAUCGAAAAGCUUUGGACUUGAGCAAUCCCAACACCAAUCUUUUUGAGAUCGGUGGCGGGUUGCUUGAAAUGCAGGUGCAGCUGGACAUUCUCCUGAGCUAAAAGCAUAUUCAUUUAGUCCCGUCAAACGGAUUAUUACUUUUGCUGCAGCUAACAUAAAGGGAGUUUGACCGUAUUGGCUGACUGAUGCAGGAUUUCACGAGGGUCGGCAACGAUUCUUGUUAAACUCGAUCUCAAAUCAAGUAAGACUACCCGCUGAACUUAAGCAUAUCAAUAAGCGGAGGA